rnacentral:rRNA from 1 species
GAUGAACGCUGGCGGCGUGCCUAAUACAUGCAAGUCGAGCGAACAGACGAGGAGCUUGCUCCUCUGACGUUAGCGGCGGACGGGUGAGUAACACGUGGAUAACCUACCUAUAAGGCUGGGAUAACUUCGGGAAACCGGAGCUAAUACCGGAUAAUAUAUUGAACCGCAUGGUUCAAUAGUGAAAGACGGUUUUGCUGUCACUUAUAGAUGGAUCCGCGCCGCAUUAGCUAGUUGGUAAGGUAACGGCUUACCAAGGCAACGAUGCGUAGUCGACCUGAGAGGGUGAUCGGCCACACUGGAACUGAGACACGGUCCAGACUCCUACGGGAGGCAGCAGUAGGGAAUCUUCCGCAAUGGGCGAAAGCCUGACGGAGCAACGCCGCGUGAGUGAUGAAGGUCUUCGGAUCGUAAAACUCUGUUAUUAGGGAAGAACAAAUGUGUAAGUAACUAUGCACGUCUUGACGGUACCUAAUCAGAAAGCCACGGCUAACUACGUG